GGACUGGGUAAUCACAAGCCAUAGGAAGUUCAACAAGGGAAAAUGCUGGAUUCUGUACCUGGUAUGGGGCAAUCCUGGAUGUACAGACAGAUUGGGGAAUGAGAGGCUGGAAAGCAGCACUGAAGAAAGGGAC